rnacentral:snRNA from 1 species
GUGCUAGCAGAGACAGCACAUACACUAACAUUGGGGUGACACAGAGAAGAUUAGCAUGGCUCAGCACAUGGACAGAGCCACAAAUGUAUGAAACAUUCUGUAUUUUU